rnacentral:rRNA from 1 species
AACGAACGCUGGCGGCAUGCCUAACACAUGCAAGUCGAACGAUUGCCUUCGGGUGAUAGUGGCGCACGGGUGCGUAACGCGGGGGAAUCUGCCCUUAGGUUCGGAAUAACAGCUGGAAACGGCUGCUAAUACCGGAUGAUAUCGCGAGAUCAAAGAUUUAUCGCCUGAGGAUGAGCCCGCGUUGGAUUAGGUAGUUGGUGGGGUAAAGGCCUACCAAGCCGACGAUCCAUAGCUGGUCUGAGAGGAUGAUCAGCCACACUGGGACUGAGACACGGCCCAGACUCCUACGGGAGGCAGCAGUGGGGAAUAUUGGACAAUGGGCGCAAGCCUGAUCCAGCAAUGCCGCGUGAGUGAUGAAGGCCCUAGGGUUGUAAAGCUCUUUUACCCGGGAAGAUAAUGACUGUACCGGGAGAAUAAGCCCCGGCUAACUCCGUG